rnacentral:tRNA from 1 species
GGUAUAGAAAGCAAAAAGCAAAUAGAUAUUGAGAUGGUCUACUCUAGGUCGGUCGUGGGAAUUGUUGAAGCUUUCAAACUAUGAUUUGGUUCGAUAUGGGCUAUUAGCUCAGGUGGUUAGAGCGCACCCCUGAUAAGGGUGAGGUCCCUGGUUCGAGUCCAGGAUGGCCCACUUGAAUCAAUGCAAAAUUAAAAAUUCAAAGUUCAAAACUAAGAAAAUUUUUUUGAAUUUUGCAUUUAGAAUUUUGAAUUGUGUUGGGGGGUUUAGCUCAGUUGGUAGAGCGCGUGCUUUGCAAGCAGGAUGUCAGCGGUUCGAGUCCGCUAACCUCCACCUGUAGCAUCAAGCUAACAAAAAAAGUAUUAGGAAAAAGUCA